rnacentral:rRNA from 1 species
UUUUCAAGAACUGGUUAUUCUUUGCCUCGGGAUCAAAUUGGCUAUUGGGCAGUCAAAAUUGUGACAGGUGUACCUGACGCCAUUCCAGUAAUAGGAUCACCUUUAGUGGAGUUAUUACGCGGAAGUUCUAGUGUGGGCCAAUCCACUUUGACUCGUUUUUAUAGUUUACAUACCUUUGUACUGCCUCUUCUUACUGCCAUAUUUAUGUUAAUGCACUUUCCAAUGAUACGUAAGCAAGGUAUUUCAGGUCCUUUAUAG